GAGCAGACAAGAAUGUGUACGCCAUGUGCUGGCUUUGAAAAAGCCUUGGAAAUUCAAUAGAGCUGUUAUUUAAGCGGCCAGAGAAGUAGUAACCAUGAGCUGACAACGAACAAUAUACCAGGCAGCUGUUAACAUCACGUUGCAUGUAAGGCAGACAAGCCCCUUUCCUGAGGAUGUUACAAGCUGAAAUGUUAUUUUAAUAGCUAAAACUGCUGCAGUGAUAGUAGCAAAACACGACUUCAUUAUCAAAACCCUUACCAAGCUGGAAAGAAAAAUCAGCGUUGCUACAUAAGAAAAUUAUAAAUCUCAUUUUAAAAACAGUUUUGGAGUAGAUGAUUUUUAAUUGCUUAAAGAAUUCUGGUGCUGAUGGCUUGGCUUCAGUGGGAGGUGGCUUGAAAGAAGGGGCAAUGGAAAUCCUGCAGGGUUGCAGGUGGAUGGCAGCCACCACCAUGGACAUGCCUGUUUCCUGGAGCGUUGCUCAAGUUGACUAGCAAGAACGAAGCAAGCAAAGGGCAUGCCAGCUGCCUUGAGUACCACAGGGGAUUUUGUUGGAAUGAGCACACCUUUGUGCAAUACUGAUCUCAAUCAGCCCUUUCUGAUGGGCAACCUUUCUGCUGAAAAGCAGUUGCUGUGUCUCACAGUUUUAUACCUUGGAUCCCAUCGUGGCACUUUGAAGAUGUGAACUACAACAUAUUAUGGGAAACAUUGGGAGUCAUAAAAGAAAGAGUCGGUGUUGCAAGAGGAGGUAUGAUAAUGAAGCCUAAAGUCAGAGACUUAAUGCCUCAGUUCUUUGCUGAAUCAAAGCCUAAGACUGCGAGUUCUUUGAAACAGACUCUCCUCAAUUAGAGGCCUGCUCAGUGCUGAACAUAAUAGCACUACGACAUAGCUGGGGCCUCUGAGCCCUUCUGUAAUAAAUGAUUAGGAACAAAAGCUCGAAGAUGGCA
rnacentral:lncRNA from 1 species